rnacentral:rRNA from 1 species
AGUGAACGCUGGCGGCAGGCCUAACACAUGCAAGUCGAACGGCAGCACAGAGGAGCUUGCUCCUUGGGUGGCGAGUGGCGGACGGGUGAGGAAUACAUCGGAAUCUGCCUAUUUGUGGGGGAUAACGUAGGGAAACUUACGCUAAUACCGCAUACGACCUACGGGUGAACGCGGAGGACCUUCGGGCUUCGCGCAGAUAGAUGAGCCGAUGUCGGAUUAGCUAGUUGGCGGGGUAAAGGCCCACCAAGGCGACGAUCCGUAGCUGGUCUGAGAGGAUGAUCAGCCACACUGGAACUGAGACACGGUCCAGACUCCUACGGGAGGCAGCAGUGGGGAAUAUUGGACAAUGGGCGCAAGCCUGAUCCAGCCAUGCCGCGUGGGUGAAGAAGGCCUUCGGGUUGUAAAGCCCUUUUGUUGGGAAAGAAAAGCAGCCGGUUAAUACCCGGUUGUUCUGACGGUACCCAAAGAAUAAGCACCGGCUAACUUCGUGCCAGCAGCCGCGGUAAUAC